rnacentral:lncRNA from 1 species
UCAAUGGUGUUCUUUAUAAACGCCAAACAUUUCUUGUUGGCAUUUAACCAUAGCCUGUUGCUGAUGGAGUGGGACAUCACCUCUUUUUCAUAAUUUCCUUGCUUUUUGUCCCAGCUCUCAUCAUCCUCAUCAGCCUCUCUGACUGGGUCUGCAGGUGCAGCUGGCUGUGGUUCCUCCAGAACCCAAUCCACCUCUGCAAUGCAGAGGGCCAUGUCCACCUUCUUCCUCC